rnacentral:rRNA from 1 species
GGGCUGUUGCUGGUCCUCGAAUGGGGACAUGUGCACGCUCUGUUUACACAUCYACUCACACCUGUGCACCCUCUGUAGUUUUACGGUCUGGGGGACCCUGUCUUCCUUCCGUAGUUCUACGUCUUUACACACACACUGUAAUAAAGUCUUAUGGAAUGUAUGCCGCGUCUAACGCAAAACAAUACAACUUUCAGCAACGGAUCUCUUGGCUCUCGCAUCGAUGAAGAACGCAGCGAAAUGCGAUAAGUAAUGUGAAUUGCAGAAUUCAGUGAAUCAUCGAAUCUUUGAACGCACCUUGCGCCCCUUGGAUAUUCCGAGGGGCAUGCCUGUUUGAGUAUCAUGAACACCUCAACUCUCAUGGUUUGCCGUGACGAGCUUGGACCUUGGGGGUUUUGCUGGCCUGUGGUCGGCUCCUCUCAAAUGAAUCAGCCUCCCAGUGUUUGGUGGCAUCACGAGUGUGAUAACUAUCUACGCUCGCGGUUUUCCACCAGGUAACCUUUGGUGACAAAGGUUCGCUGGAGCUCACAGAUGUCUCUCCUCAGCGAGGACAGCUUUUUAACGUUCGAUCUCAAAUCAGGUAGGACUACCCGCUGAACUUAAGCAUAUCAAUAAGCGGAGGAAAAGAAACUAACAAGGAUUCCCCUAGUAACUGCGAGUGAAGCGGGAAGAGCUCAAAUUUAAAAUCUGGCGUGCCUCUGGUCGUCCGAGUUGUAGUCUAGAGAAGUGUUUUCCGUGCUGGACGUGU